GUCUGAAGCUUCCUUCUCACUGACCCGCUUACCUCGGGUGGCUUCUCUUCUGUUGUAUCUUAAGAGGUAGCUGCUGCAAGUCUUUCUUAAUUCACUGGGGAAUAAUGGCAGCCUCUCCAGGCCUUCUGUGUCAAGACCUCAGUCCUGGUUGGCUGCAAAGCUCCUCAUCCAGCCUUGCCAGAUAGUCUUGUUUUGCUUUCUUCUUCUAGUCUUCAAAUCCCACUCUGAUUUUGAGAUUCUUUUGUUAAAGCCCAGCAGCAAGGAUGGUGGAGGGUGCAUUGGGUGUUUGGGUGGCAGGACAGCUGGUUUCUACUCUUGGGUUGGAAAAUGCCAAGCGAUUUGGCUUUGGGGAAAUGACUCCCCUUUUUGGUGUGAGGGAUUAUUUCUAGUAAACUGUAAUGAAGAGAUUUCAUAUCAGUCAACAGAAGUGGUUCUGAGCAUGAUCACUAAGUGGGAGCGGGAGUCACAGGGCCUCAAGGCUUAUCUCCUCCAGGGCAGUUUUAUCCCUGCCCCAGGAAGGAAGUAUGUGGUAAUAUAUUUCCUGGUCUGGCUGCUGGUCGGAAUUUGUGAGGGUGAUUGCCAAAUGAAUUCUCUAUAUGUAAUCCAGAUAUCAACUGGCAUUUCCUGCUCCUGUGAUCUAGAUAAGAGAGGCCUAGCAAGCAGGCCACUUGCCGUAGGUGCCGAGUUUAUGGUCCGCAUCACUUUUUUAUGUAGGCUGAACCUGGCCCACAUGACAUCUGCCCAGAUAUAAAAUUCCACCUCUUCCUUGAUUUCCACCUAAAAUGUCACUCACCUGAGGCAAGGAUCCAUGGAGAUUUGAAGGAGACAUGUGAGAGUACGCUUCAGAAAGGCACGUCCUCCUAGUAAAUGUUCAAUACUGAGAUUCUUAAAUGUUUCCUCAUGCCCAAGUCUGUAUGUUCUACAUUCUUGAGAGGGAACCUAAUAAAAGGAGUUAUUUUUCUCGACAAAUGGAGUUUAUAAAAAGGACUUUGAGAUCUUUCAAAAUAUGAUCUAAUAUAAGAAUCACUUAUUUUUGGAAACACAUUUGUUUAUUCAUUCACAGUUACAUUCAUUCCUUCUAGGCUUUUUUGGUUUGGCCUCUACAGAAGAAAUUAUAAAACUGGUUCAGUACUGCCCCCCAUCAGAUACACUAAUUCCCCAAAUAACGGAAGCCAGUGAUUUCUGCAUGUGAAUUGUCCAGCUUUUAAAGUCAGCCAUUUGGCCGUCUGUGGCCAUUUGGUGAUGUGUUACUUGUGUAUGGACUGCCAGGGUUACUAGUGUGGUCUCGAUGGAAGGUAGCUCUUCAAGGAAGUAGUAAAAGCCAAACUGCACAAAGCAAAUCCUGUAGCUGACAACAAUGUGCCCAGGCUUUUCCAGAUUUGCUCUAGUUAUUCCAAUAAGCACUAUUCAAACUUAUAAACAGAUGAAAGGAGAAAAGAAAGGAGCCUUUAAAGACAAAAAGAGGGCUUCUUUCUGCCAGUGAAACAUUUCUCAGGUAAGAUCACAUCAUCUGCAAUAUGGCUUGCAAAUGUGUGUUUAAGAUAAUUUUUGGAACAGCCUAGACCAACCAGUUAAAGUGACUAGGGGUUAAACUCCAGGAGGC
rnacentral:lncRNA from 1 species